UCCCUCCAGGCCAUCUCUCCCCCACUCAGCCAACCUUUGCCUCCCCUCUCCUGCCACAGCUCCACCACCUCCCCACGAGCCCUCCCCGCACCUGCCAUUCCCCUGGCAGGAGGAGAGGCAGGCUCAGGUGGGAGGGGCCUGAUCCAGUGGAGUGGAGUGCUAUCUGCAAGGGGGAUGCCCCUCCCCUCUUGAAUACCCCAAAAAGGCAGCUUAGGGGCCAGGCUGGGGGACGGCGACAAUUGGCUGACCCCUCUGUGACCUCACCAUGCAGUCUGAUAUCAACAAGAGGCAACAAUUAUUGAGUGCAUACUGUGUGCCAGAUCUGAGCAAAGGGGCCAUAUCUCUUCCCUGAGACUGAGGCAUCCUGAGGACAAGAGCUGUGUUUCUACCAUCAGCCUGCCAUCAACUGUCCUUGGGACCAGGAAGUCCCGGGCAGGCUGCUGUCGGGAACUAACCUUCACUACUGUUAUCAUUAUUUUCAUUAUCAACAGUCUAUCAUUCUCUAUGGCUGUAGCCCCACCAGCACACACCCAGCUAGGCUUUUGGCUCUUGUCUGGAAAACACUGCCACAAAUAUGCACCACAGUUCCCACGUGAGCCCCAACUAGGGUGUCACACUGGGUCCAACAGCCCCCACUGUACCGCCAUCCUCCAUCACCACUAACCCCCACCAUGGGGUGCCAGGAGCUGGCCUGGAAGAAGAAAGACACUGAGUCAUUCUGAUUCCUGCUUCAGGGAGCCAGAGCCAGGCAGCCCAGGCAGCCCCUCCAAGGGGGACAUCAGGGGCAGGGUUAGGUCCCUGGAACACUCCUGGCAGCCGAGGGGCUGAGCAUGGCGUCCCCAGCAGCCAGAUUUGGGAGGGGGUAGAGGUAAGAAAUGGCAGGGCUUUAGUGACUGGGCCCUGACAGAACAGGAAGGGACAGCAGCAGGCAUCUGUGAGCACCCCUAUCCAUCUGGCACCUGGCCAGGUCUCCAUCACACUGGGAACAAGGGAGCCCCACUCAAUUUACAGGUAAAGGCUACAGACUCAGGGAGGUCCUGUCAACUGCCAGCGAUCACACAGCACCUAGUAGGUGGGGGCAGGUAAUACCUGCUCAGAUGCCCACAACCUUUGAUCCUCAUGUCCUGAGUGGACAGCCAGACCCAAGGUUUGGGUGGGGUGGGUGGAAGCAGCCAGCAACGCUGUCCAUGCUGGCAGAUGGAGGGUGGGAGCGAGCAUCACAGGAGAGUGGGAACAGAUGCCAGGGAGCAGGACAGUGGAAGUGAGGCGCUCUGGGCCAACUCUUCAGCAGGGCAGUGCAAUGGGGUGCAGCCUAGGACUGGACAUCAGAGGCCUUAGUCUUCAGCCUGGCUCAUUCCAAGCCUAUUGUGGACCUCAGGCAAGGCCUGGCCUCUCUCUGAGUCUCAGUUUUCCCCAGUGAUGCUAUGGCACUCUGAGAUCCAAUAUUCUCCCUAGCAGUUCUGAGUCAGGCCUCCCCAGGCGUAUCAACGGGGCCCUGAGGCUGAGGGCCAAAGAGGGGUCUGUGCCUAGGUGGCCCUCCCCUCCCCACCCAUGGGCACACAGGGUCCUCGUUGAAGAAAUACAGUGUAUACAAAUAAUUAAACGGAAGAAUUGGAGUGAUUAGGGCAGAUGAUUAUUGUCAAAUUAUGAUUUAUCUUGUAGUGGAAUUAGUAUUCCCCCAAAGGGCCCGGCGUGGCGCGGCGCCCGCCACGGCCCGUGAUUAAUCGCCGUCUCCAGAAGGUCACCUCCAGCCACUGCAGAUUAACUCAGUGGGGAAACUUCUUUCCGUAAUUCAAGCUGUUGUUCCCACAACCUGUCAUCCGCCUCGAAAAAGGACGAUUUCGUCAGGGAGCCCAAGGUGGGGGCUGUCCGCUCUCCCAGCCCCUCCCUGCUGCAGACAUGAUAUAUG
rnacentral:lncRNA from 1 species